rnacentral:misc_RNA from 1 species
UCAAACUUGGUCAUUUAGAGGAAGUAAAAGUCGUAACAAGGUCUCCGUUGGUGAACCAGCGGAGGGAUCAUUAGAGAGUCUCGUACUCCCAAACCCACUGUGAACCUUUCAAGUUGCUUCGGCGGGCGGCCCCUCGGGAGGGGCCAGGCCGCCCCGCGUAGGGGUGCCCGCCAGAAGACCAAAACUCUGUUUUUUAUAGUGGCAUUCUGAUUUUUUUACAAAACUAUUAAAACUUUCAACAACGGAUCUCUUGGUUCUGGCAUCGAUGAAGAACGCAGC